GACGAACGCUGGCGGCGUGCUUAACACAUGCAAGUCGAACGGAAAGGCCCUGCUUUUGUGGGGUGCUCGAGUGGCGAACGGGUGAGUAACACGUGAGUAACCUGCCCUUGACUUUGGGAUAACUUCAGGAAACUGGGGCUAAUACCGGCUAGGAGCUCCUGCUGCAUGGUGGGGGUUGGAAAGUUUCGGCGGUUGGGGAUGGACUCGCGGCUUAUCAGCUUGUUGGUGGGGUAGUGGCUUACCAAGGCUUUGACGGGUAGCCGGCCUGAGAGGGUGACCGGCCACCUUGCGACUGCGAUACGGCCCAGACUCCUACGGGAGGCAGCAGUGGGGAAUAUUGCACAAUGGGCGGAAGCCUGAUGCAGCAACGCCGCGUGCGGGAUGACGGCCUUCGGGUUGUAAACCGCUUUCGCCUGUGACGAAGCGUGAGUGACGGUAAUGGGUAAAGAAGCACCGGCUAACUACGUG
rnacentral:rRNA from 1 species